UAUUAGUCUGCUCCCGAGUCAGUUUCCCAGAUUUCAAGACCAUAGACACAAAUGAACCCAAGAACAGUAAGAUUAUUACUGGCUUCUGUGGUUGAAGCAUGAGGUACCACUGCGUGCGUUUCAUUCCAGCUCCCAUUUCUGAACAGCCAAAACAGGCUGUGGUGGUGGUGGUUCUUUUUAAGAGCAUUCUCCUUCUUUUAGUAACACUGACGUACUGUUGCAUACAAGAGGUAUAAAUCUGCUGGCUGUUUCCUCACCUCUGCUGUAUGGCAAUUUCACUCAGCACAGAAUGCCUCAGUCAGCAUCACCAGCAAAUGCAUCAUGUAUGAUGUGCUUUUUUUACUUCUAAGGCUUCCCCUCCAGCUCAAAUAACAUCAUGCAGCUGAUUUCUCGAAUUCCUACAUGCAAAAAUCGAUCUGUUUGUUCUGAAGCCACAGAGUUUUCAUCUGCUGCCAGAGGGGGGAUCCAUCUGGGUGCCAUGACUUCCUUCCUUUGAAACGAGCCCUCCCUGUGCCCGCUAGCAGGCAGCAGUCCCACAGCCGCAUUCAGGGGCUGUGCCUGCUUUUGCUUUACUGGCAGAGCAGGGAGGAUUGGAGAUGGAAGGCAUAGAGGCCGGGGCCAGUUUUUCAUCCCUGGAGUGAGGCUGGCAGGUACAAGGGCCGUUCCUGACAGAAGGGCAGGUGCCUCUUUGCAGGGCUUAGCCCAUUUUAAGCACCCGGCUGCUGCAGAAAGGCAUAGACCUCCUGUGUAUUGUACAUGCCUGCCAUACACGGCCUCUGUUGCACGUUCAAGGUGGUGCUUGGCACUGCUUGGGCGAUGGAAUACCACCCUGCAUCUGCUGCUUGCCUCACCAGAGAAGCAGACAAGCCCCGGAUACUCACAGAACCUCCUUUUGAUUACAAGUCAGCUUACAGAAGAGGGAUUUGCACAGCCCUGUUGUAUCUCCUGAUUUCUUCUGCUGUGGCUGUGGGAGGUCCUGGGCUGCUUCUGGGGACCAGCCUUUGCCAGGGAGGCAGAGCCCUGCCAGCUCCUUGGGAAGGCUAGCAGGCAUCACAGUGAGAUCCAGCUCUACCAACUUUGACUUCUUGACCAGGCCCCUCAGUCACAUUUAUAUAACAAGAACCAGAUCAAAAAGCCAGGCAAGACACGGAUGACUGAUUUACCCCAAAUCUCUUCCUCCCACUGGCAGAUUUUAGCACAGGUCCUCCCAGCCUGGCCACCCUCACGCCUGCUGCCCGUGACCUCACACAGCUCUCACCCCCACUUUUCACCCCAUUUUUCAGCCUCAUCAUUGAGGUUGAAAUUAGUUGUUUGAUGUACUGUAAUUAGUACAACUGUAAUUAGUUGAUUGAUUUCCCCCAUAUGUGAAUACUGAGCCAUCCUGAAGACUAUUACUUCAAAGAACUUUUGUCAGAUUUGUCACCAAUAAUUAAAUUGUCUCCACCCAAGCAGACUGUGCUUUUGAUCAAGAAUAUGCAGUUUCCUCCUGACUGGGGGCCAAGGAAAGGCAUGAUUUGAUCACAGUGCUGGCAGAUGUCUUAGAGAGCAAAGGAAGCUCACUUUGUUAUUCUUAGCAGCUCCUGCCUUUCAAUCAUGGGAAAUUAUCAUUUGACUAUUAGUGUGGAAGAGUUUUCCUUGCACGCCAGCAAAGUUAAAAGGCUACAGUCAGCUUUGAGUAUGAUGCCUUCCCUGUGGAGGUUGAUGAGAGACUCGUACUCAUCUCACCUUCCUGUUUACCUGCUCAUUUUUGGUACAAUCCCAAAUUAUUAAGAUGAUAUACUAGUUGCAGUAGAAUUAUUUAACUGUGUUAAAUAGUUUUUUAAUUUCCAUUUUCUGUGGUGUGAUGCAAGAACAGGAGGCACUACAGCCUCCCUUCUGCAAACAUUUGCACUGCACACCUGCAGUAAAACAUGCAGGUUUUUUCCACUACAGUCCCUCAGCACCAGCACAGCAGAAGCAGACUUUGCUUCCCCCAGCCCAUUGGGAAGUGAUUCAGCACUGCAAUGUGGCUGCUGGCAAAGGUAUCAGUUCAUUUCGCUAGUCUUCUUCGUAGUAUUUUAAUGGUGAUUGUUUGUGGUGGUGUUUUUUUUGACUUUUUUUUGUCCACAAUGCAGAAAUUCAUUGCUCAGACUUUGAAUCACCUACAAACCUAUCCGAUUUUAUUUUCUUUCUACCUGUUUUGCUGAAAGAAACUACUUGUGAAUAUUUUUAAAUUAAAAAAAAAAAUUAACUCUAUUCUAAAAAAAAAUAAUAAAAAAAUCUAAAAGAAGUCCAGAAAAUGGUAGACAAUUGCAAAUUCUGUUUGCUAUCUCAUGAUGCACUCAGCUAGUAGUUUGAUUCAUCCAAUCACGCUGUGGAAUGUGAGGUCUCACCAGGAUGGGUCCUUCCUUCCUCAGUGGCUGUGUUCCCCCGCCCAGAAAGCAGC